rnacentral:rRNA from 1 species
UACGAAGGGGGCUAGCGUUGUUCGGAAUUACUGGGCGUAAAGCGUAUGUAGGCGGAUCGUUAAGUCGGGGGUGAAAUCCCGAGGCUCAACCUCGGAACUGCCUUCGAUACUGGCGAUCUUGAGUCCGGAAGAGGUGAGUGGAACUCCUAGUGUAGAGGUGGAAUUCGUAGAUAUUAGGAAGAACACCAGUGGCGAAGGCGGCUCACUGGUCCGGUACUGACGCUGAGGCACGAAAGCGUGGGGAGCAAACAGGG